rnacentral:rRNA from 1 species
AACCUGGUUGAUCCUGCCAGUAGUCAUAUGCUUGUCUCAAAGACUAAGCCAUGCAUGUCUAAGUAUAAGUAUUAUACAGCGAAACUGCGAAUGGCUCAUUAAAACAGUUAUAAUUUAUUUGAUAAUCGAAUUUACAUGGAUAACCGUGGUAAUUCUAGAGCUAAUACAUGCUGGUAGGCCCGACUUUUUGGAAGGGCGGUAUUUAUUAGAUAACAAACCAAUAUUCCUCUGGUCUAUUGUGGUGAAUCAUAAUAACUGAUCGAAUCGCAAGGUUUUUAACCGCGAUAAGUCAUUCAAGUUUCUGCCCCAUCAGCUUUCGAAGGUAGUGUAUUGGACUACCAUGGCUUUUACGGGUAACGGA